UCUGGGAUUCAUUAGACGUGGCCUCGACACAGGCCAGCCAGCAUCAGAGCUGACUGACGUGGGGAGGAACGGUUUUCCCAUCGCUUCUAUGCGAAAAGAAAAAAAGAAAAAAAAUUAAUUACACAGGUGCUGUGUUCAUUUUCAGUUGUAUUCCAGUAUGCCAAAGGAAUAGAGUAGAAUCAGCUUCACCUUGGCCUAAGGUUUACAGUAACAGCUUUCAUUCCGCAAAAAGCCAGGGAACGGGAAUAAGAAUAAAUCAGUGACUCUUCAGUUUAAUUCGAAAUGCUGUUAAUUGGAAUAGUCUUCUGCUCUAUAAGCAUGCUUUCCAAGUUGCGACCACUGAAGUAAAUUGAUUAUUUUUUUUUUUAAGGCCAAAACUCAAUUAAUGUUUUCCCACUUACGCUGUAGACUCCAACUAACUUCUAAACUUCAGUGAUGCCCCUGAGUUGGUCAAACUACUCGGGACAAAAAUGUAGGAAAGCCAGAAUUAAAACAAAAGUACAGUCUAGAGAUCUGCUUCCUGCUGACUGCCUGCACCUGGGAGUUUUAGAAAUUUUUUUACUAGUUAAUAAUUGGAAAAUAGUUGGAAUAGUUGGAAAUAGUUGGAAAAGGUAAAAGGAAUACUCGGCUAACUGGUUGUGAAGUCAUUGGAGUUAGAGAAGGGAGUUGAAUGGCAGCGACCUGGGAGACGUGGAAACCCGCAGUACUUGGCGAAGGACGAGAUCCCGCCGUUGUCACCGUUACUGGUCACAGGUGACUAAAAUCCAACGGAGUUCAGCUUGCCAAGAUGGUGACUUUAUUACAGUUCUCCACCUUCAUUUCAAAGUCUUUUUGACAGAUCUGGGAAUUUUUUCUCUUAAGUUGUUCUUUGGGGGUUGGGGUUUUUUUUAGUUUAACUUUCAGUUUGGGAAAAGGAUGGAAAACAUGCUCAAAAGCCCCCAAAAAAUAAUCAAAAGAAGAGCAAAAACUGUGCAGUUUGGGAAUUGUAUCGUACCAAGUAAGGAUAUCUGUAUGCAGCUUUGGGCCCGAGAAAAGGGAGGAACUUCCACAAAAUGAAGCGUCUGCCCGUUGUACUGAAGCCCUUAUGGAAUCUAUUUCAUCCUGAUUGUAUUUGGGAAAAGACCUGAUUGUGCACAGCGUUAUGAUCCAACAGCUGCUGUUGCCUGCAAUUCCACAGGCAAUUCCCACAAAACAUGCCUUUUAUAACAGAAUCGAUUCAUUGAACUAUUAAUCAAUAAAACUUGGUGUUAGAUGAUAAAGAAUGGGAAUAAUCUACUUUUUAAGAAUUUCUCUCCCAACGGCAGCUCGGUAAGAAAAGGGGCAGCUCCUCACCCUGGCCUUGCUUCUCACCCGCGUGCGGUACCGAACGUGGAGUUUAUGACAUCUGCAGAAACAUGAGCGAGCUCAGAGCUGUCUGGCAACGCGCUGGGGAUCGAUGGCUGCCGAGGCUCCCAGCUUCCAGAUUCAGGAAAUGAGGCGAGUUAAUUUCUGUUCAAAGUGCUCAGAAAUACCACACCUCGGAAAAGGAUAUUUUCUGGACGCGAGAUGCACGACUACCUACGCUUAUACCCGGCUCAAAAUACAGCCUUCGGGACGUGUGGGGAACCCAGAGCUGGCACAAAAUAAUGAGCUCGCUCAGUGCUGUCGUGUGGGAGAAGGGAAGAGGAGCUGGAGGUGACGCUGGCUGAGUGGCCACGGCAGGAGGACGGGGGCUGAAUGUGACGCCAGGGACGCCAUCGCCGCUUCUUCACAGAAGUGGCAGGAAAAGCAAAGAAGGCAAAGUGCGCCCUGCCAAAAGCAGCCGUUCGGAUCCCGAAAUACCGAAGGAUCAUUUUUGGUAGGGCACACGUCGCUAAACCUCUGGCUUAAAAAAAAAAGAGGGAUAAAUCAUAGAAUCCUAGAAUCACCUGGGUUGGAAGGGACCUUUCAGAUCAUCGAGUCCAACCAUCAACCGAGCACUGCCCAAAGCCCCACUACCCCGUGUCCCUCAGCACCACGUCUGCCCGGCUUUGAAAUCCCUCCAGGGAUGGCGACUCCACCACUGCCCUGGGCAGCCUCUUCCAAUGCUUGACAGCCCCUUCCGGGAAGAGAUUUUCCCUAAAUGAGAAUUGAGAAUUACAGGAAGGACGGUACCAAAAACUAGAGAUCCUGAACACAGAACUGUCUCAGUCUCGUUUGCAAAAGCACGUGUUAAGUAUUACCAAGAGCCACUUAUUUGAUUAAAGUACACUUAAAACAAUCCCAGAAAUUAGGAGGAAUUUAAAAACCCAUACUUCAGUUCCUUUUUAUCAACUCUGAGGUUAAAUAUACAUGCAUUGUAAAUAUUUGGUGUAUAGCUUUGUCUUCAUGGUAGCGUAGGCCAGACUCUGCCCUUCUGGAUCGUUCCAAGCAGCAACCCCUUCACUGAUCCCAAACCUUUCUGCAA